AUCCCAUGAUGAGGACACUUACAAAGUAACUCCUUAAAUCGCUCCCAAGCCUCAUACAAAAACACGUCGUCCAAUUGUUGGAAUGUUGUGAUCUCGUUCCUCAACAU
rnacentral:snoRNA from 1 species